AUGGGACCCAGGAUUCUUACUAAAACACCCAAAGGCUGUAGAUGUUAGUCGGUCAGAGGUUAGAGUGACCCAGGGACCCUCUGUUGCCCCUCCCCUUUGUUUACAAGCGUUGGCCACUCCACCUAGAAAGAUUAUACGCUCACUCUGGAAAUGUCAGCACAUUGGCCACAAAAUACCAUGCAGAUCCCCAAGGACUUCACUAGAGAGGAAAGCAAUAAUCCAGCGACUGAACCCAGGUGUCUCUCACCAAACCCUACCCUUUCUGGUCUCUAGGCCAGGGCAGUUCCUCCACCAGUCCCGACGUUUGCGCUACCUAAGCACGUUUGGAUUUAACAGGACCAUUUCAACUCCAAGACAGGUGAAAAUGUCACUGCGUAACUUUCACAACCGGUGGAUUUUCCUGGAUAUGCUUACAGAGAUGUCUGACAACCAUCAGAGGCAGCCAAAGUAUUGUGGACAGUUGACACAAUGUCAGUCUGUGGCAUCUUCACUGCCAAGUGAUAUUUCCACUCUAGAUAGCUAAACCCGAUUUUUUAAAAACUCACCUUUGGUAUAUAACAUCAGUUGGAAACUUCACACUGUUUUAGUUCUUCACUCUAAAGUGGAUAUCAACUUUAGUAACUGAUGACAGAUCCCAGCUUCCACAGUAAAAAUAGCCUCUGGUUUGGCCUGAUGUGUUUCCUCUUGCUAAGGAAGGGACUCUGGAGCAAACCAGCCUUGCAUAGAUUUAAGGAGAACAUUAUUCAUAUUUUGCACCUAUUACACCAUUGUAUUUGCAAUAAACUUUAAGGAAAAGGAUUGAAUGUGACAUAAGAAGUUAACAUUUUUUGUAUUUCUUGCCCCAAAAUAGUGCUUAUCAUUUUUUAAAAAUUGCUAUAUGGUUACCCAUAAUAAUCUUACUUUCUAUAUCUAACUAGUUUAAAUGGUAC
rnacentral:lncRNA from 1 species